rnacentral:rRNA from 1 species
AUUGAACGCUGGCGGCAGGCCUAACACAUGCAAGUCGAACGGUAGCACAGGAGAGCUUGCUCUCUGGGUGACGAGUGGCGGACGGGUGAGUAAGGCAUGGGGAGCUGCCCAAUCGAGGGGGAUACCAGCUGGAAACGGCUGCUAAUACCGCAUACGCCCUGAGGGGGAAAGGUGGGGACCUUCGGGCCUACCGCGAUUGGAUGCACCCAUGUGGGAUUAGCUAGUUGGUGAGGUAACGGCUCACCAAGGCGACGAUCUCUAGCUGGUCUGAGAGGAUGACCAGCCACACUGGAACUGAGACACGGUCCAGACUCCUACGGGAGGCAGCAGUGGGGAAUAUUGCACAAUGGGGGAAACCCUGAUGCAGCCAUGCCGCGUGUGUGAAGAAGGCCUUCGGGUUGUAAAGCACUUUCAGUGGGGAGGAAGGGGAGUAAGCUAAUACCUCUCUUGCUUGACGGUACCCUCAAAGGAAGCACCGGCUAACUCCGUGCCAGCCGCCGCGGUAAGAC